rnacentral:lncRNA from 1 species
GAAAGAAUCAGUUAAAUAGUAUUCAUUUUCUCCAAAAUACUUCCUCAUCUCAGCUCCUCAAAAGAAUUUCUAUGCUAUUGUUAAAGAUAUUUUGAAUUAGUGGUCAUAAAGUACUUUUAAAACAUCCCUGUGAAGGGCUUUAGAGCUGCACCCUGUAGCAUCGGGAGGAUUCAUUCCUGUUCAAACAAGAGAACAGAGAACAAGACUGGCUGUAGCAGUUGCCUGCUUCAAAGAUUCAAGUCGAGUGGAAUCAGAAAAGAACAGGCAGCGCAGAUGGUUAAAACUGGAUGUGGAAAGGACAAUGCAAUUAAUAACAGAUGGCACGGGAUGACCACGUCCUUGAGAGAACGCCUUAUUGGCACCUCCUGCUAAUUGUAUCACAUAUAACACAACUAAAAGCAUAAUAAAUCUGAACUGGGGGACAUUUUAUGCAAGAGCUCUUCUCCUUUUCCAGACGGUAAAUUGCUCAGCUCUUGAAAUAUCUAUAACCUUGUGACACCCAACUUGCAUUAGCUUAAUUGCCUUUUUUCCUCUCCCUCCCCCUUCUACCCUCCCUUCUCUUCUCCUCUCCCUCUUCCCCUCUCUCCCUCUACCUCUCUUUCUCUCCCCCUCUCUCACGCAGUGUUUUUCCUCUUGGGUAUAAAGGAACAGUUGGGCUGUUGUUUUUCUACCUAGUUUAGUGCUGCAUCUAAACCAGCUAUAUUUCCCUGCUUGUAUAGAGUAUGUUCAGGGAUUGAUAUGCUGGCUUUACUGGGAAAUUAUUCUUCUAGAGGGCUUUAAAACACUUUCCUUAACAUUAAUGUUGGGGAAGAAAAUGUAUGUCUAACUGCUGAUGUAAAUUAAUAAAACUGUAGAGGAGCGUUUUAAUUAAAUGGAAAAGCACGUGCGCUUCAGAGGCCAUAUGCACUAACAUACACACGCACAUCGGCAUGGGCUUUCUUCUUUUUUGCCAAAUGGGAACAACUCCCAAUAUACUGUAGGAGUAAAAAGGAUUGAGUUUUCACUUACUUUGUAACUUGAUUUGGUGUUAUUGCCAAUUUGUAAAGUGAAAGUUUUA